UGACUCCGUAGGGUUGACUCCGUGGGGUUGACUCCGUAGGGUUGACUCCGUGGGGUUGACUCCGUAGGGUUGACUCCGUGGGGUUGCCUCCGUGGGGGUUGACUCCGUGGCUAUAAAUCGUGAUUUAACAUUAUAACAGGCAAACAAACAGCAAAAAGAAUUGGUCAAUGGUCAUUUGUCAUUGGUCAUUGGUCAUUGGUCAUUUGUCAUUGGUCAUUGGUCAUUGGUCAUUGGUCAUUGGUCAUUGGUCAUUGGUCAAUGGUCAUUGGUCAUUGGUCAUUGGUCAUUGGUCAUUGGUCAUUGGUCAUUGGUCAAUGGUCAUUGGUCAUUGGUCAUUGGUCAUUGGUCAAUUGGUCAUUGGUCAAUCUAAAGCGCUUGAAUCCUUCUUCUCUCUGUGGGAGAGCUGAUGUUAUAAAGGUCACCUUCUAUGUAUGUAAAGCUAUUGCAAAGGGUUUCGCUGUUUGUAGAAGUAUUUAGCCAAAAGCUGAGAAUUCAGGUUUCAAAGGUCCUACAUUUAUAGUCAUAAUCACACAAGUUUUAGAUUGAAGAGGUUUAUUUAAUAUAAGCGGUGUUUGAUGCACUUUAGAGUAAGAGAGGAAAAUGAUUUUAAAAUGAUUUAAAACCCUUUAAAAAAUCAUCAAACAUACAUUGAGGUGUGGAGGAACACACCGAGUACAAGUUGUUUUCUGCCCACUGAUUCUACAUUCUUCUAUGUACUCUGACUGGGAACCACUGACUGGGAACCACUGACUGGGAACCACUGACUGGGAGUCAUGGUGACUCCAUGUGUUUCUGGCACUUGUAUGUAAAGUGUGAAUGAAUAGACCUCCGUUCCUCUGGAAUCCUUUGGUUGUAUCUCAAAUGGCACCCUAUUCCCUAUAUGAUGGCACCCUAUUCCCUAUAUGAUGGCACCCUAUUCCCUAUAUGAUGGCACCCUAUUCCCUAUAUGAUGGCACCCUAUUCCCUAUAUGAUGGCACCCUAUUC
ensembl:lncRNA